rnacentral:rRNA from 1 species
ACGGAGGGUGCAAGCGUUGUUCGGAAUCACUGGGCGUAAAGGGCGCGUAGGCGGUUUGAUAAGUCAGAUGUGAAAGCCCACGGCUUAACUGUGGAAGUGCAUUUGAAACUGUCAGACUUGAGUAUCAGAGGGGAAAGUGGAAUUCCCGGUGUAGAGGUGAAAUUCGUAGAUAUCGGGAGGAAUACCGGUGGCGAAGGCGACUUUCUGGCUGAAUACUGACGCUGAGGCGCGAAAGCGUGGGGAGCAAACAGGAUUAGAUACCCUGGUAGUCCACGCUGUAAACGAUGUCAACUAGAUGUAGGGGGUGUUGAUCCCCUCUGUGUCGCAGCUAACGCAUUAAGUUGACCGCCUGGGGAGUACGGUCGCAAGAUUA